rnacentral:rRNA from 1 species
UGGGGAAUAUUGCACAAUGGGCGCAAGCCUGAUGCAGCCAUGCCGCGUGUAUGAAGAAGGCCUUCGGGUUGUAAAGUACUUUCAGCGGGGAGGAAGGCGAUAAGGUUAAUAACCUUGUCGAUUGACGUUACCCGCAGAAGAAGCACCGGCUAACCCCGUGCCAGCAGCCGCGGUAAUACGGAGGGUGCAAGCGUUAAUCGGAAUUACUGGGCGUAAAGCGCACGCAGGCGGUCUGUCAAGUCGGAUGUGAAAUCCCCGGGCUCAACGUGGGAACUGCAUUCGAAACUGGCAGGCUAGAGUCUUGUAGAGGGGGGUAGAAUUCCAGGUGUAGCGGUGAAAUGCGUAGAGAUCUGGAGGAAUACCGGUGGCGAAGGCGGCCCCCUGGACAAAGACUGACGCUCAGGUGCGAAAGCGUGGGGAGCAAACA